rnacentral:rRNA from 1 species
GAUGAACGCUGGCGGCGUGCCUAAUACAUGCAAGUCGAGCGAACGGACGAGAAGCUUGCUUCUCUGAUGUUAGCGGCGGACGGGUGAGUAACACGUGGAUAACCUACCUAUAAGACUGGGAUAACUUCGGGAAACCGGAGCUAAUACCGGAUAAUAUUUUGAACCGCAUGGUUCAAAAGUGAAAGACGGUCUUGCUGUCACUUAUAGAUGGAUCCGCGCUGCAUUAGCUAGUUGGUAAGGUAACGGCUUACCAAGGCAACGAUGCAUAGCCGACCUGAGAGGGUGAUCGGCCACACUGGAACUGAGACACGGUCCAGACUCCUACGGGAGGCAGCAGUAGGGAAUCUUCCGCAAUGGGCGAAAGCCUGACGGAGCAACGCCGCGUGAGUGAUGAAGGUCUUCGGAUCGUAAAGCUCUGUUAUUAGGGAAGAACAUAUGUGUAAGUAUCUGUGCCCAUCUUGACGGUACCUAAUCAGAAAGCCACGGCUAACUACGUG